GACGAACGCUGGCGGCGUGCCUAACACAUGCAAGUCGAACGGGGUGAAGCCCUUCGGGACUUCACUUAGUGGCGAACGGGUGAGUAACGCGUGAGGAACCUGCCUUUCAGUGGGGGACAACAGUUGGAAACGACUGCUAAUACCGCAUAACACUUCUGAGUGGCAUCACUUAGAAGUCAAAGCUUUAUGUGCUGAAAGAUGGCCUCGCGUCUGAUUAGCUAGUUGGUGGGGUAACGGCCCACCAAGGCGACGAUCAGUAGCCGGUCUGAGAGGAUGAACGGCCACAUUGGGACUGAGAUACGGCCCAGACUCCUACGGGAGGCAGCAGUGGGGAAUAUUGGGCAAUGGGGGAAACCCUGACCCAGCAACGCCGCGUGAAGGAAGAAGGCCCUCGGGGUUGUAAACUUCUUUUACCAGGGACGAAGGACGUGACGGUACCUGGAGAAAAGCAACGGCUAACUACGUG
rnacentral:rRNA from 1 species